UCCCCACUGUCAUCUUCCACGGAUUAAUGGU
rnacentral:piRNA from 1 species